UACGUAAAAUGCAAGCGUUGUCCGGAAUUAUUGGGCGUAAAGAGCUCGUAGGCGGUCUGUCGCGUCGGCUGUGAAAACCCGGAGCUCAACUCCGGGCCUGCAGUCGAUACGGGCAGACUGGAGUUCGGCAGGGGAGACUGGAAUUCCUGGUGUAGCGGUGAAAUGCGCAGAUAUCAGGAGGAACACCGGUGGCGAAGGCGGGUCUCUGGGCCGAUACUGACGCUGAGGAGCGAAAGCGUGGGGAGCGAACAGG
rnacentral:rRNA from 1 species